rnacentral:lncRNA from 1 species
GGAGCCAUUGGCGCCUUUCCUCAGCCGGCGCUCGCAGUGGUCAAAGAAGUUCGGUGCAAAGCAAUCCAACCAAUAUCCGAGCUACUUUGCAUUGGCAGGGCCUGAACCGCGAUGGCAUGGCAGGCCUAGUCAGUGCUUCACCGACAAUGAUGACAUCAUCAUCUUGAUCGAUGGACACCACUGACAUCGGUGGUGGGGACGAUGUCUAUUUCAAUGGAGAUCCUCAGGGCAGUGAUGGUGACUGGGUGCUUCUCGGCACGUGCAAAGAAGAUUCUUCUCAGGAUUUCUUUGGUGGUCCCUGAGAAGGUCCACCUUGAUCGAAACCCGACCUCUUGUUGACAGCC